rnacentral:pre_miRNA from 1 species
GUUGUACUCCCUUCGUCCAACAAAAAAUGGUUUAAAUUUGUCAAAAUUUGGAUGUAUUUAGACAUGACUUAAUGUAUAUAUGCAUUCAAAUCUCAAAGUUGAGACAUCCUUUGUUGGACGGAGUGAGUAGUAG